UUGGACACGUGUGGCAUGCGGCAUUUCACCGGCAACUCAAGCUAAAAAUAAUUUCGUUGCAUGCAUUUGUUCGUACGUUGCACUUUCGGCGUGUUAGCGGUGCACAAAGUGAGUGACAGGUAGACAGUCUUGAUUCUGAAAAUUGAACAGUUACAUUUUAAAAAUGCAAAGUGUAUGAAUUGAACUCAAGUGUAGUGGACUGUUGAAAUAUGUUGCGGUGCUAAAGAGCGUUAUGUGCGUGUAAAUAAAGAUUACUCCAAAAAAUUUAUAAAAAAUUAAGCGCUUUUGCUUCUUUUGUGUACUCGGCAAACGAAGUUUAAAGUGGACUGUUUGAAAAUACAAAUCAAGUGCAUCAAACAUUGAAGAACAGUGCAGAUCUUGCGUUCUCACUAGACUGCAGUUUCUAAAUUUGGUUUUAGUCCACAAAUUGCGAAUUCAGUUGAGAUCUACUUGACUUUUUUCGAAAUUUGAAGUGCUUAUAAAGUGAAGAGAGUUCAAUUUAUUAUUGAUCAGAGUUCGUGUCAAACAAUACUCACCAGCAAAUAUAGUCUUAUUGACAACAGCAGCACGACAAAAUGCGAGAUCGUACGAGUAAUAAAAUGAAGCUUUUUGCAUUGCGUUACCGUG